UACGUAGGGUGCAAGCGUUAAUCGGAAUACUGGGCGUAAAGCGUGCGCAGGCGGUUCUUGUAAGUCUGUCGUGAAAUCCCCGGGCUCAACCUGGGAAUUGCGAUGGAGACUGCAAGGCUAGAAUCUGGCAGAGGGGGGUAGAAUUCCACGUGUAGCAGUGAAAUGCGUAGAGAUGGUGGAGGAACACCGAUGGCGAAGGCAGCCCCCUGGGAUAAC
rnacentral:rRNA from 1 species